rnacentral:rRNA from 1 species
UGGGGAAUAUUGGACAAUGGGGGCAACCCUGAUCCAGCCAUGCCGCGUGAGUGAUGAAGGCCUUCGGGUUGUAAAGCUCUUUUGGCGGGGACGAUGAUGACGGUACCCGCAGAAUAAGCCCCGGCUAACUUCGUGCCAGCAGCCGCGGUAAGACGAAGGGGGCUAGCGUUGUUCGGAAUUACUGGGCGUAAAGCGAGUGUAGGCGGUUGCCGUAGUCAGGUGUGAAAGCCUUGAGCUCAACUCAAGAAAUGCACUUGAUACUGGGUGACUAGAGGACCGGAGAGGAUAGUGGAAUUCCCAGUGUAGUGGUGAAAUACGUAGAGAUUGGGAAGAACACCAGUGGCGAAGGCGGCUAUCUGGACGGUUACUGACGCUAAGACUCGAAAGCGUGGGGAGCAAACAGGAUUAGAUACCCUGGUAGUCCACGCCGU